AUCGUUCAUCUUUUGGUGGUCUUUGAUCCUCGAAUAUUAAAAUGACUGCUAAAAGACGGAAGUAGGGAGUUCUCCCGAAGGAACGCGCC
rfam:Planktothrix serta PCC 8927 isolate BBR_PRJEB10992 genome assembly, scaffold: BBR_A_PL8927_scaffold5